ACAAUGAAGAGUUUGAUCCUGGCUCAGGAUGAACGCUAGCUACAGGCUUAACACAUGCAAGUCGAGGGGCAGCAUGGUCUUAGCUUGCUAAGGCCGAUGGCGACCGGCGCAC
rnacentral:rRNA from 1 species